CUAAACGGCAGGCAGGUUGUAGUCGGAAGAUGUCGUAAAAUCGAAAUUAUUGCAAUAAAUUCUGCAGUAUAUCUCUGCUCCUACUUUUUAGGCCUCUUUUUGGUAUAUAUACAGGUAAUCAAAACUAGAGAGGUGAUAUUGUUACUUCCUUUUCCUUUUCCUUUUCCUUUUUUUUUGAACUUCUCUGUAGUUAACUGCUAUUGCUUGAUGCAUUCGAAACAGGAGGUUCUGUUGACUUGUUUGGAAACUGGUGAAUAAACCUCUUUUUUAAAUUGUUUCUACUGUUUAGGUGAUGUUUGGUUUUGCGUAAAAGUUGUCGUAAAAUGAAGGGUUAAUUACACCAUUGGUUUUUAACCUUUACCAGAUGAUUUUGGGUCCUUAACUUUUAAUUUUUGCUUUAAUGAAGCCAAUUCUGUGUGGUAAUUUUUUUGUUAGAAUUAGCAGCGUUUUUAAUGGCAGGGACUCGAAUGAAACAAAUAUUUAACGCUGGGGGUCAACUUUCAAGGGAUAAAAAAAAGUUGGGGCAGUAAAGAUUGGUCCCGACUGGGGACAGAUGGUCUUCAGUGCAGACAUUGCGGAGGUCAGCUCCAUUGAAGCCCUGCGAGAGAAGCUCUUUUACCGUGACGAGUGCAUUGAAAUAAACAAACGGGAGAGCACAGUUAUCAGCGGCGAUAGUAUGUGCUUCUUACAUAAUGAGAUGAGAACUCACCUCAGCAAGUUUGACAACUGCCUCAUAAUCUAUGUCACCAUGUUUUGCGAUACCAGCAGCAUGAAUCUUCAGUAUUUCCAUUCUGGAUUGUUCGUUCGGUAAGGGAAUUUCGAUCUUCCUGUCUAGCCGGCCUGGGCGAAGAAGAGCCGGGUCGAGAACAUCUGGUCGGUUCGUCGCCAUAAUCAUUUUGACCUAACACAUAGUGGAGGGAAAAAGAUGUAGAUAACAAGCACUUAACAUUGAAGGAUAUCUACUACAUUGUGGAAAAACAGAUGCCAUUUCAUUAUUUAUCUUUCAAGAAGAUCUAGUUACAGUUAGAACAGCUCUCAACAAGCUUGCAACUCUAACUUAAUUGUUGGAAAAUCAGAAAAUACAUUAUAGCUUGCUGAGUGUACAGUAGUUUGGAGCACAUGAAUGUUCAGUGAAUACAUGUCUACAUA